UUGCAGUUAAAAAGCUCGUAGUUGGAUUUCGGACUGGUGCAGUUUGGUCUGCCGCAAGGUGUGUUACUGAACUGUGCUGUCUUCUUCUCAGAGUCCUGCUGUGCACUUGAUUGUGUGCAGUAUUUUGGAAUUUGAGACGUUUACUUUGAAAAAAUUAGAGUGUUCAAAGCAGGCCUUGUUAUGCCCGAAUACAUGAGCAUGGAAUAAUGGAACAGGACUACGGUCUUAUUUUGUUGGUUUCUGAGACCGAAGUAAUGAUUAAGAGGGACAAUUGGGGGCAUCCGUAUUUCGUUGUCAGAGGUGAAAUUCUUGGAUUUACGAAAGACGAACAACUGCGAAAGCAUUUGCCAAGAGUGUUUUCAUUAAUCAAGAACGAAAGUUAGAGGAUCGAAGACGAUCAGAUACCGUCCUAGUUCUAACCAUAAACGAUGUCGACUAGGGAUUGGCGGGCGUUACUUUCAUUACGACCUCGUCAGCACCUUACGGGAAACCAAAGUCUUUGGAUUCCGGGGGAAGUAUGGUU
rnacentral:rRNA from 1 species